GACGUAGGUGGCGAACGUUAUCCGGAAUCAUUGGGCGUAAAGGGUGCGUAGAUGGCAUGAUAAGUUAUUAGUGGGAAAUCGAGGCUCAACCUCGUGGAAGCUAGUAAUACUGUUUUGCUUGAGUACAGAAGAGGUUAACGGAACUCCAUGUGGAGCGGUAAAAUGCGUAGACAUAUGGAAGAACACCAAUAACGGCGAAGGCAGUUAACUAUUCUGUUACUGACAUUGAGGCACGAAAGCGUGGGGAGCAAAACGG
rnacentral:rRNA from 1 species